AGAGUUUGAUCCUGGCUCAGAACGAACGCUGGCGGCAGGCUUAACACAUGCAAGUCGAGCGCCCCGCAAGGGGAGCGGCAGACGGGUGAGUAACGCGUGGGAACAUACCCUUUGGUUCGGAAUAACUCAGGGAAACUUGAGCUAAUACCGGAUACGUCCGUAAGGAGAAAGAUUUAUCGCCAAAGGAUUGGCCCGCGUCCGAUUAGCUAGUUGGUGAGGUAACGGCUCACCAAGGCUACGAUCGGUAGCUGGUCUGAGAGGAUGAUCAGCCACAUUGGGACUGAGACACGGCCCAAACUCCUACGGGAGGCAGCAGUGGGGAAUAUUGGACAAUGGGCGCAAGCCUGAUCCAGCCAUGCCGCGUGAGUGAUGAAGGCCUUAGGGUUGUAAAGCUCUUCUGUCCGGGAAGAUAAUGACUGUACCGGAAGAAUAAGCCCCGGCUAACUUCGUGCCAGCAGCCGCGGUAAUACGAAGGGGGCUAGCGUUGUUCGGAAUCACUGGGCGUAAAGCGCACGUAGGCGGACCGUUAAGUCGGAGGUGAAAGCCUGGGGCUCAACCCCAGAACUGCCUUCGAUACUGGCGGUCUUGAGUAUGGUAGAGGUUGGUGGAACUCCGAGUGUAGAGGUGAAAUUCGUAGAUAUUCGGAAGAACACCAGUGGCGAAGGCGGCCAACUGGACCAUUACUGACGCUGAGGUGCGAAAGCGUGGGGGAGCAAACAGGAUUAGAUACCCUGGUAGUCCACGCUGUAAACGAUGAGAGCUAGCCGUUGGGGUGCAUGCACCUCAGUGGCGCAGCUAAC
rnacentral:rRNA from 1 species